ACGGCAUUGGCUCAGAGGCGAGAGCGUCGGACCGCAUAGUCCGAAGGUCGCGGGUUCGAGUCCCGUAUGCCGACACA
rnacentral:tRNA from 1 species